UACGGAGGGUGCAAGCGUUAUCCGGAAUCACUGGGUUUAAAGGGUGCGUAGGCGGCAUGAUAAGUCAGGGGUGAAAGCUGGCAGCUUAACUGUCAAAUUGCCUUUGAUACUGUUGUGCUUGAAUCAGGUUGAGGUAGGCGGAAUGUGACAUGUAGCGGUGAAAUGCAUAGAUAUGUCAUAGAACACCAAUUGCGUAGGCAGCUUGCUGGGCCUGCAUUGACGCUGAGGCACGAAAGCGUUGGGAUCAAACAGG
rnacentral:rRNA from 1 species